rnacentral:rRNA from 1 species
GUAUAAGAGACAGCAGUCGCCACGGGAAUACGGAGGGUGCAAGCGUUAAUCGGAAUUACUGGGCGUAAAGCGCACGCAGGCGGUCUGACAAGUCAGAUGUGAAAUCCCCGGGCUUAACCUGGGAACUGCAUUUGAAACUGUCAGGCUGGAGUCUUGUAGAGGGGGGUAGAAUUCCAGGUGUAGCGGUGAAAUGCGUAGAGAUCUGGAGGAAUACCGAUGGCGAAGGCAGCCAUCUGGCCUAAUACUGACGCUGAGGUACGAAAGCAUGGGGAGCAAACAGGAUUAAAUACCCCGGUAGUCCCUGUCUCUUAUAA